rnacentral:rRNA from 1 species
UGCGUAGGCGGUUUGGUAAGUCUUGUGUGAAAUCUAUGGGCUCAACUCAUAGUCUGCACGAGGAACUGCCGGGCUUGAGUGUGGGAGAGGUGAGUGGAAUUUCCGGUGUAGCGGUGAAAUGCGUAGAUAUCGGAAGGAACACCUGUGGCGAAAGCGGCUCACUGGACCACAACUGACGCUGAUGCACGAAAGCUAGGGGAGCAAACAGGAUUAGAUACCCUGGUAGUCCUAGCCCUAAACGAUGACUGCUUGGUGUGACGGGUACCCAAUCCCGCCGUGCCGUAGCUAACGCGUUAAGCAGUCCGCCUGGGGAGUACGGUCGCAAGGCUGAA